rnacentral:rRNA from 1 species
ACGUGAUCUGAGUUCAGACCGGAGCAAUCCAGGUCAGUUUCUAUCUAUAAAGGACUUUUUCUAGUACGAAAGGACCGAAAAAGUGUGGCCCAUAUAUUAUACAAGCCACAACUAUCAACUUAUGACCGAUACUCAAUAAGCAAAUAACCUAGCAUUUAGCCCUAAACAAGAGCU